GCACAUCUCCUCCUCCAUCCUUUAAUGGCUCACUUUGAGAGUUCUAGUGGGGAUUGAUCCUCUGGACCUUCUUCUUCUUCAAGAGGAGGUCCUGCAGGGCUGAAUGUCGAGCAUGAGAUCGGAUCAUCCUUCAUGCCUGGCACCAUUGAGUCCAUGUUAAACUUAGAUAACUUGAGUCUAAUCUGGCCUCAAUAUGGAAUUCC
rnacentral:lncRNA from 1 species